rnacentral:misc_RNA from 1 species
CUCAAGUAUUGCGCUGCACACAUACCAGCAUAUUCGCCCCUCCACAUCCCCAUCUCGCUACACCCUCCCGCGCGCCUCAGUCUCACCGCGCGCUUCACUCUUGUUUAUAUAUAUAUAUAUAUAUUUAGUGCAUCAUCUCUUCCUUGGCGGCGCCACCAUCACGCAGACGCACAUACAUACUCGAUUGUGUAGAAUCACUAUCAACGUCUCGCCACUCCCCCUCCCCCCUCUCCUCCCCGAAAGCCACCACUACGGAGGAGAGCGAGAACCGCGCUUUCCAGCUCCCCACACCCACACACUUUUCCUCGUACACAACUUCCUUCGCUUCUUCUACUGCUUCUCAUUUCUCUUCUUUGUGUGUGUGUGUGUCUGUGCAACUGCUGCUCACAAACAAAUCUGUACUUGAGUCUCUGUCUGUUUCUGUGUUCCUCUUUGGAGGGCUGCGGCUGUCACCCUCCCAUUGUUGUUGCUUCACUCUCUAUCCCUCUCCACCCCCGCCGCCACCACCACCACAUCUUCUUUCGACGGGAGCGUUCAUACACGCACACUCGCGGUCGCGAGUAACACCGAAGGAGAGAUCUGUAGAAGCUGCAGGCAAGAUCUUGAAAGUAUACAUACAUAGUAUAUAUAUAUAUAUAACCAAAUAGAAGUGCAGUGUGAUUUUUUUUCCUCUCUUCUUUUUUUUUCGCGUGUGCAUGGGUGCGUGAGUGUGGUGUCGUGUCGUGUGUGGUGUAAGUCUGGAAAAGGCGUUGCGUUACGCUCCGCUGCACCGCUUUCGUUGUUUGUUUGCGCGCGCGCUCUCUCCCACUUCUUCUUUUGGGGGCAUCUCACCACGCCUCCUGACACCCAUCAGCGUUAUCACAGCCGGAUCACCAUCAUCCCCUUCCGCUCUUCUCUAUCGCUCCUCCACCUCCACCUCCCUCUGUGUGUGUGUGUGUGGUCUUCUCACCGCUUGUUUGUGUUUCUCCGCUUUGGUGGCUGUUCGCUGCCGUUUUUAUGUGUGUACGUGUGUGUCUAGUCACCCCUGUACCCCUAGCACGCACGCACGCACACAUAUACAUCUAUAUAUAUAUAUACACAUACACAAGCACAGACACACUCUCCCCUCUUUAUAUGUAUGUGUGUAUGUAUGUGUCUGCCUGCCUCUGACCCCCUCCUCUCCCUCCUUUGCCUUCUUCACCAUCCCACUCUCCUCGUUGAAUGUAGUAUCGCUGACUCCCUCACGGCGCAGUGAGUUCGCUUGCAUCUACCAACCUCCCUUACUCUCUCUUUCUCUGCGCGUGUGUUUUCUUCUCUGCACGUCAUCAUUUUUAUUUUCGCUGUGGGCCCCGCCCGCGCACCAUCUCCCCUCCCCCCUCACUGCACUCUCUGUGCACAUCAUCAACAGCAUUGUCGCUGGCCUUUACGAUCGCCAUCAUCACCACCACCAUUCGGGCCCUAGUUUUGCUCACGGUGGGCGUGGGAGUGUUGAUCUGUCUGCGAACGGAAGGAGGGGAAGCAAGCAGCUGGACUCCACGCGAAGGCCGCACCAGGCUCCUCUUGUCUCUCCCUUUUUUUUUGUUUUUGUUGUUUCUUCUCCUGUCUUAGUCUCUCUCCCUGCGUGUGCGUGUGCGUGUGCGUGUGCGUGUGCGUGUGCGUGUGCGUGUGCGUGUGCGUGUGCGUGUGCGUGUGCGUGUGCGUGUGCGUGUGCGUGUAUGCCCCGCUCUCUCC